AGGCAAUACGAUUCAUUGAGAUAGGAGAUCAGCCCGUGUUCUUUGCAGAAAGUUCAUCAUCAAGAAGGAGAUUUCAGAAGAAGAUGGCAGUGAAUAUCAUAUUUGAGGAAGGAAUACGGUUCCCUGCUGAUUCUUAGUUGUCAAAUGAGGACUAUUAAUCUAAUGAUUUUUAAUUUCCAUGUAAAUGAAUAGGCAAACAAUAUUAGUGUUUUGCAUUGGGACCUUCAAGUGAACAAAUAACCUGGCUCAGGGAGUUGGUGCAACAGUACUGUUUUGUUAAAGGCUUCCAAGUUGUGUCAUGAGGACAGGUAAAGGACCCAGUUCUCUGAACUUGGCUCAUGAGGAUGAGGUCAAUCUUGAGGCCUAGAGACAGUGGACUGAUGAAGAAUUAGGCUUUGAAAGUUGUGCAGUUGUGCAAGAUGGAACAAACUGAAGUACUAUGGGAAAGCGAGAACUAUUCCGCUGCUUGGGGUGCGCUUUGUUGAAGAAAAGCUGAAUACUAGUGCUUGAUGAAGCCACUUCAUCAUAAAUGGAAAAUUCAACAGAAUCAAUUCUACACAAAAGUACAAGAGCAGAAUUUGCAGACUGCACUGUAAUAAUAGUGACCCAUAGGAUACCAACCGUGAUGCUAUGGUAGAGUAUGAUGAGCCAAUGAAGUUGAUGACAAUGGGGGAUCACUAUUUGGGCAGCAUGUCGAGCAAUACUGGUCUUGUUCUGCCACUGCAAGCAACCACUCAGAAGAUUGAUAGGGUAAGCCAAGUCUAGCCAACUUUUCUGCUACAAGUAUGUGUCGAUUGAUCUACCAAAGUACUAGAGUACGUUGUUUAAAACCUAGAA